UACGGGGGGGGCAAGCGUUGUUCGGAAUUACUGGGCGUAAAGGGCUCGUAGGUGGCCAACUAAGUCAGACGUGAAAUCCCUCGGCUUAACCGGGGAACUGCAUCUGAUACUGGAUGGCUUGAGUUUGGGAGAGGGAUGCGGAAUUCCAGGUGUAGCGGUGAAAUGCGUAGAUAUCUGGAGGAACACCGGUGGCGAAGGCGGCAUCCUGGACCAACACUGACACUGAGGAGCGAAAGCGUGGGGAGCGAACAGG
rnacentral:rRNA from 1 species